GCUCACAAUGUCUCCAUUAGGUUGGUGCAAAAGUAAUUGCGGUUUUUGCCAUAAAAGUAAUGGCAAAAACCGCAAUUACUUUUGGACCAACCUAAUACUU
ensembl:miRNA